UACGUAGGGGGCAAGCGUUGUCCGGAUUUAUUGGGCGUAAAGAGCGUGUAGGCGGCCUGAAAGGUCAGCUGUGAAAACUCGAGGCUCAACCUCGAGACGUCGGUUGAAACCAUCUGGCUAGAGUCCGGAAGAGGAGUGUGGAAUUCCCGGUGUAGCGGUGAAAUGCGCAGAUAUCAGGAAGAACACCCGUGGCGAAGGCGGCUCUCUGGGACGGUACUGACGCUGAGACGCGAAAGCGUGGGGAGCGAACAGG
rnacentral:rRNA from 1 species